AACGCCUCACUUACCGGAGUGGGGAUCCAGACGCGCCGCGGCGUGAACCCUAAGGAGCUGCCCGCACUGUGCCCAUUCCGUCUGCUUCUCCCAAUCGUCUCCUCCUUGCCCGCUUUCACUGCAUCCCUAGCGGGACUCCCUCGGCCCCAGAGAGGGGGUGCUGGGACGUGGGCACCCAGAGAGGCGAUGCCUGCGAGUGGAGCUGGGAGGCUGGUACCCGGAGCAGAUGCUGCCGGAGGAUGCGGGAGGAGGAAGAUGCUGGCAGCUGGUGGCGCGCGCAGACGGCUGCGAGCAGGAAGCGGGGCUGAGCAGAUGCCGCCUGGCUUGCUGGCCCUGUACCAGCUACUGCGUGAGCUGGGCUAGACUCCUCGCUGGGAGAUGAAGCGGGUUUUUAACCAUUCUGACGUUGGCUGGGACAUACCAAUAAAAUCCUUCCCCACGUCUCUGUCUCCCAGGCUCAGCUGCUCUCAUUAGUGACAACCUCAAGGACUGCAGCGCUGGGACCGCAUCCAUUCAGGAGAGAGAGGAGCAAGGUCAGGCCAGCCCCUCCCCACCCCGCCCAGCCCCAGCCCCGGAGAACCGGCAGCCUUUGGGUGCUUUAACCCUUCCCUGCCUAGCAGAGGUACCUUCACAGAGCCAGAGCAGCAGAGACGGAAGGGGCUGGGGGCUCCCCAGCCCACGCCCCUGGGUCCCUACUGUAGGCCGGGUUCUCUCCUGGCCAUCCAGCGCAUGGAAGGUCAAGGGCGAUCCCUGGCUUUGGGCCCCCUGGACGCGGCACCCCACAUUUAAAGGGGUUCACACCACCUCCUCCUCGGCGGAGCUGCGGCUCAUUCAGCCCCUCGCACUGGCAAUGUGGCUGGGACACAGAUCCAGACCCAGCAUCUCGUGGGCUAAUGAGCAGCCAUUGGAUCCCGGCUCGCCGGGGCUUCCGGGAAAGCGCCGCAUUGAUUGUGCUCUCAGUGCACUGCAGGCCAGGCUGGAUGUGCAACGAUAUCACUCAACAGCAAUCAAAUCAUCCUCCUGGUUAAUAACGCUCCCGGCCUUUCCCUGCACUCCAGCCCCAGCCAGCGCCCGGCGGCUGCCCCCUCUGGGCUGCGGGCGUGGAAAGCAAUGGCCCGGAGGAGACAGCAGGAGCAGCGGAAGCAGCAGAGAUGGAGCGUGAAGGGGCCGGGGAGCCGCCCGGGGCAGGAGCUGCGGAGCAGAAGGUUCUGGCGCGCGUUGGCCCAGGGCUGUUGGGAUGGACGGAGACGGGGCCGUCACUAGGAGCGGGACCAGGGGGAGUCGCGCCGUUGUCUCCACUUUGGCUCAGGGCAUGGAUGAAGAGACAGACACAGAGUGAGAGGGGAAACUGAGGCACGGGGCAGGCCCAGGGUAACCCAACUCUCCUGAGUCCCAGUCUGGUGCCAUGUCCGUUUGAUGACAU
rnacentral:lncRNA from 1 species